rnacentral:hammerhead_ribozyme from 1 species
AUUUAGCUGACGAGACCCAAAUAGGACGAAACAUGCGUCCUGGAU